rnacentral:rRNA from 1 species
AUGAGUCAGCUAGUGUGGAACUUCCGGGGGGUGGGGAACCACCGGACAGUUCGCGAAGUUGGGGCUCUUGUAAAAUCCCAUUCCCCGAGUUUUGUCUUCCUUGCUGAAACAAGACAAACCUGUGCAAAAAUUGAGCAUCUGCGCUGGAGGCUAGGCCUCAAAGGUUUCUGUGGUGUUGACUGCGAAGGCCGUGAUGGUGGUCUGGCUUUGUUCUGGGAUGAA